rnacentral:rRNA from 1 species
CUACGGGGCGCUCCAGUGAGGAGUAUUGCACAAUGGGGGGAACCCUGAUGCAGCAACGCCGCGUUGAGGAUGACGCAUUUCGGUGUGUAAACUCCUUUUAUAUGUCAAGAAAAUGACGGUAGCAUAUGAAUAAGCACCGGCUAACUCCGUGCCAGCAGCCGCGGUAAUACGGAGGGUGCAAGCGUAGUACUCGGAAUCACUGGGCGUAAAGGACGCGUAGGCGGGUUGGAAAGUCAGGUGUGAAAUCCUACAGCUUAACUGUAGAACUGCACUUGAAACUUCUAAUCUAGAGUAUGGGAGGGGGAGAUGGAAUUAGUGGUGUAGGGGUAAAAUCCGUAGAUAUCACUAGGAAUACCUAAAGCGAAGGCGAUCUCCUGGAACAUUACUGACGCUAAGGCGUGAAAGCGUGGGGAGCAAACAGGAUUAGAUACCCUGGUAGUC